rnacentral:siRNA from 1 species
AGCCUCACGUUAACGUCGUAGAUA